rnacentral:rRNA from 1 species
UACGAAGGGGGCUAGCGUUGUUCGGAAUUACUGGGCGUAAAGCGCGCGCAGGCGGCUAUCCAAGUCAGUGGUGAAAGCCCGGAGCUCAACUCCGGAACUGCCAUUGAAACUGUUUAGCUUGAGGAUGAGAGAGGUGAGUGGAAUUCCCAGUGUAGAGGUGAAAUUCGUAGAUAUUGGGAAGAACACCGGUGGCGAAGGCGGCUCACUGGCCCGUAACUGACGCUGAGGUGCGAAAGCGUGGGGAGCAAACAGG